rnacentral:rRNA from 1 species
GGUCAAGCGAAUAAGCGCACACGGUGGAUGCCUUGGCGGUCAGAGGCGAUGAAGGACGUGGCAGCCUGCGAAAAGUAUCGGGGAGCUGGCAACAAGCUUUGAUCCGGUAAUGUCCGAAUGGGGAAACCCACCCGCUUGCGGGUAUCCUGCAGUGAAUACAUAGCUGCUGGAAGCGAACCUGGUGAACUGAAAUAUCUAAGUAACCAGAGGAAAAGAAAUCAACCGAGAUUCCGUAAGUAGCGACGAGCGAACGCGGACUAGCCCUUAAGCUGGAUUGGUUCUAGGAAAACACUCUGGAAAGAGUGGCCAUAGAAGGUGAUAGCCCUGUAUCUGAAAGGGCCAUUCCAGUGAAGACGAGUAGGGCGGGGCACGUGAAACCCUGUCUGAACAUGGGGGGACCAUCCUCCAAGGCUAAAUACUACUGACCGACCGAUAGUGAACCAGUACCGUGAGGGAAAGGCGAAAAGAACCCCGGAGAGGGGAGUGAAAUAGAACCUGAAACCGUGUGCGUACAAGCAGUAGGAGCUCCGCAAGGAGUGACUGCGUACCUUUUGUAUAAUGGGUCAGCGACUUACUGUUCGUGGCAAGCUUAACCGUAUAGGGGAGGCGAAGGGAAACCGAGUCUGAUAAGGGCGCAUAGUCGCGGGCAGUAGACCCGAAACCGGGUGAUCUAGUCAUGCCCAGGGUGAAGGUGCGGUAACACGCACUGGAGGCCCGAACCCACUCCCGUUGCAAAGGUAGGGGAUGAGGUGUGAUUAGGAGUGAAAAGCUAAUCGAACCCGGAGAUAGCUGGUUCUCCUCGAAAGCUAUUUAGGUAGCGCCUCAUAUGUAUCCUCUCGGGGGUAGAGCACUGUUAUGGCUAGGGGGUCAUCGCGACUUACCAAACCAUUGCAAACUCCGAAUACCGAGACGGACUGUAUGGGAGACACACGGCGGGUGCUAACGUCCGUCGUGAAAAGGGAAACAACCCAGACCCACAGCUAAGGUCCCAAAUUCACUGCUAAGUGGAAAACCAUGUGGAAAGGCACAGACAGCCAGGAGGUUGGCUUAGAAGCAGCCACCCUUUAAAGAAAGCGUAAUAGCUCACUGGUCGAGUCGGUCUGCGGGGAAGAUUUAACGGGGCUAAGCAGUGAACCGAAGCUUGGGGUGCAUA